GAUGAACGCUGGCGGCGUGCCUAAUACAUGCAAGUCGGGCGAACAGACGAGGAGCUUGCUCCUCUGACGUUAGCGGCGGACGGGUGAGUAACACGUGGAUAACCUACCUAUAAGACUGGGAUAACUUCGGGAAACCGGAGCUAAUACCGGAUAAUAUAUUGAACCGCAUGGUUCAAUAGUGAAAGACGGUUUUGCUGUCACUUAUAGAUGGAUCCGCGCCGCAUUAGCUAGUUGGUAAGGUAACGGCUUACCAAGGCAACGAUGCGUAGCCGACCUGAGAGGGUGAUCGGCCACACGGGAACGGAGACACGGACCAGACUCCUACGGGAGGCAGCAGUAGGGAAUCUUCCGCAAUGGGCGAAAGCCCGACGGAGCAACGCCGCGUGAGUGAUGAAGGUCUUCGGAUCGUAAAACUCUGUUAUUAGGGAAGAACAAAUGUGUAAGUAACUAUGCACGUCUUGACGGUACCUAAUCAGAAAGCCACGGCUAACUACGUG
rnacentral:rRNA from 1 species